AUCCAGCUGGCGAGUCCCAAAUAGGACGAAACGUGCGUCCUAGAU
rnacentral:hammerhead_ribozyme from 1 species